GCAACCGAGCCGCCACAGGCCCUCGGAACGCUACGUCACGUUGCGCAGCCGCAGUCCGGCGUGUGCGCGUGUUCUCCAGGAGUCCGGAAGGGAAGGCGUGCCUUACUGCGGUCUAGCGCCACCACGGCCCAUCCGCGUACUUGGCCUUGAGGGGGGAUACGGGAGGGAUCAGGUGGGAAACCUUGAAGCUCUCCCUAGCUCCAGAGGAUCAAGGGGAUUGCGGCAAAGGUUCACACGGGGCCGGGAACAAAAGAAAGCAUCUCAGAAGAAGCACAGAAGGGUGAAGUGGCUGCAGGUUGUCUCUAUUCCGGUCAAGUUCUGAGGCACAGGAAGAGUCUAGAUAAUCAACAAAACAAUGAGUCAAGUCCCAACAUACAGUAUUUGCUGAUUUCUACAGUGUAAAUAGCCCUAUCACAGCCAAGGGCAAGCUGCCAUGAUGUCACCGAACCGACUUGGAAAGAGAGUCACAGUAACACAUCAUUCUGUGGUAUUUCCAACCUACAGGCACGAUAAACGUAAGUCACUGCUACAACAAACAUAAGAAAAUGUAGUAAAAUAAUUGAGAAGUGAUGAAUUUUGAGUAUUUGUUACUUUGCUUUUUGACAGAAUUUAUUCUCAGCGUAAAAUCUAUUAUUCCUUAAAAUGUCAAGAAAGUAAAGCUUUGACCAGAAGGAGGAAAGUGGGCCUGUGUGCUCCCAUCUCAGGAACAGGAGGCCGAGUGUAUGCUGGGAACGUCAGAGUGACAGCUAUCAAGAGACCAGAAACAGGACCCGAUUCCUGUCCCAGGGCUUAUAACAAAGGCUCCAACCAGGCUUUUUUCCAAAAAUGUUUUUAAUUCCGACAUCCAUCUUAAUGGCUUACGGUAGCCUAAUUUAGCCAGUAGUUUGUUAUACUAAAAAUGGAAGCUAAUGAUUUCAGCUAAAAACAACUAAGUCAGUGCCAUCAAAGUAUAUUGUAAGAAACUGA